UGGCUAGCCGCGUUCCCCUCCUGCACGCAACCUCUCCCCCCCCCCCUCCCCCUCAUCCGUGCCCCCGUGGUGUCGAACCCCCUGCCCUCUUCGCGGAACGGUGAGUUGCUUUGUUUCAAUUUGUUCGAAAAAAUCCGUUUGUUUGCUGAUGCGCAGGCUCAGCUCUGACCCGUGGAUCAGCGUGCUGCCGGGUGAAUCGAGCUGCGGUGGCCUCGAUCUGGACCUGCGCACCGAGGCUACGGAUCCUCGUCCAUGGCGAUCUGGAAUCUGCAUAGAUCAGGCGGGCCGCGGCGUGACCGGAUUGCUACUAGGUGGGCUGGAGGGCGCGGUGGAGUUGCCAGGGCAUAGCCGGCCGGCGGGGACUUCUUCCUCUGCUCCACCGCGCGGGAUCUCUCUGAGCUGAUAAUUAUUGGAUGAAUUUCGAUAAUUAUUAGUAGAUCUAAGAGGUGCGAACCGUGCCGCCUUGAAGAGGCGAGGUAAGGUGAAGCAUGUAAGAGUCGUCGUUGAGUCGGCGUGCGUUGAGGGCACAAAAAAAAGAAAAAAAAUGUGACCUGAGAGAGGCCUUUGCCAUGAUGGGUGCGCUCGCAUGGCAGGCCACGGUAAUAAAUAAGAUAUUCUUGUGUCCCGGGGAGGAGAUCGCACGGGGGUUGAUUUUUUUUGGCCCCGGGUUCUCCUCCCCCUUGGUGUCCCUGUCCCCGUUGCUUUGUGUUCCUCCGCUGCUCCUCUGCGCUACGGAACUCGUGCAUCAUCUAUCUCGGCGCCACUGCAAAAAAUCUGGAGCUCCAGCGAUACUCAAGGUACAAUCGGUAAUUUUAGUAUGUAUGCAAUUUCCUUCGUUCUUUGUUCUUCGCAACGCUUUAAUUUUGUCAUCUCGUGAACUAGCGUUGAGAUAGCCUUUAAGCACCGUGAAUAACCCUCAUCCACUUUACUCGAACCAGUUGUCAAGAUACGAAACUUCAAUGGCUCCCAGGACCCUCAAAAGAUCACUUAUGCUACAAAUUUUCAAGAAACCAGUAAGCAAACAUCCAAAAUUUUUGAUGCACUGAUGGUUAACUCUAUUCAUUACCUCGGAUCACCGAGACGACACAAAACACAAUGGAUACGUAUUUCAUUACCACCGAAUUUAUACAAUUAUGAAUUUGAUUUCGCGCUGUCAUCCACUGCAAUUUUUUUGUUUAUUGCACGUGUACUUAUGUAUUUGAGUAUUACAAUAUAUAUUGAUUUGGAACACUGGAACAUCUCUUUUUGGUCUAGUACUUAGUAUUUGUUUGUUAAUCCGUAGCAACUGUAGGGCUUGUCGAGGGUUUCGGAGUUGUUGGAUGGACUGUACUAUUGGUGUUUUAUCUUGUUUAUUAAGCACUAUCAAUUGUUGGGUUUGUAGAGGGUUUCAAAAUUGCUGUAUAUGCUGCUAUUAUCAUGUGCAUGCGUACCUACGAAGAAAGGAGGCUGGUGAUGGAGCUGAUGGAGUUCUGCACGAGCUGAAGAUGCUGGCAAUAUGAACCUGAAGAUUAUUACGAACUCAACAAUAUGAACAAUGCGGUUUGUUGCUUUACCUGGUGGUGUUAAGCGUGACCCAAAUACCAGGUGUUUGUUCAGUACUUUGAAUCUAAAUCUCAUUGCUGGUGCUUGUACUAUUACUCCAUUUAUUCAGGCAGUUACUCCAUUUAGAAGUUGGGGACACUGGGUUACCAGGAUAUUCCGUUGACGAGGGUUGUAACAAAUUUGUGUUCAAUUUGCUGAGGCUUUGGAGUUAAGCCAUGAGCAGUGGACUGUGUUCAAUUUGCUGAGGCUUUGGAGUUAAGCCAUGAGCAGUGGUGAUGGACUUAAUCAGAUUAAAGGUGGGUUGGAAAGUCGAUGACAAAUAAUUAAGGUAAAAUUGGCCUGGCAUCUGUAAGGUUAAAAUUGUUACCGUCGCUUGUAAACUUACGCUGGAUUGCACCCACCCAGUGAUUUCAGUCAUUUCCAUGUUUCACGAGACUUGAAUCCUGCACUUUUGGCGGCAGUAGUAGCAGCAGAGGUGUGUUGCAAUUCAUCGGGGCAGCUUAUUUAUUUGUUGCAAUUUUGAGAUUAAUUAUGGAUUAAUUAGAUUUAUCUUGCAUUACAAUUCUUUUGUGCAAAAAGUUUUGUAUAUAAAUUUUAUUUAAAAUUCCUAAAUGGCAAGAUUUUUUUUUUAAUUUUUUUGCCAAAAGAUCUAAACACCCUAUAAGCUGAAUGUUUUUUUUUUGAGAUUCCUAUACUAGGGUACAAGUUGAAGAAUCUUAACACCCCUGUAGACGCACACUGCAUACACGCACUCACACCUCAUUCAACACCUUUCUAAAGGGAAUUAAGACCUACAAUCUAUCCUCUAGAGAAACCAGUUCAUGUGAGAAUCGUGGGCGAGCCUGCCACUCGAGCGUUAACCGACCGAGCUACCGCUCGUCCUCCUAUAAGCUGAACGUUGGGAGUAGGGGGGUGACCCUUACUAAUAGUUCCCUAGAUAUAUGAUAGUUAUGCUCUUAUACUUUUUCUAACCGAGUAAAAUUAAAUGCAAAUGUGGAUUUUCGUAACUGAAUGUUACGAGAUCAGCAUUUAUGUGAUCAUAACAUGAUUUUGGUUCACUUUGCCAAUAAUGAAUAAUUUCAAAUGUGUAGUUUAACUUUUAAGCAGAGGUACCAAACUAAAAUUGGAAGGUAGUUUUGGGAUGCCGGGGUUUAAAGGUUUCACAAAUCAUUUAACGGUUGGUAAUUUUCGUCACCAUGUUGAUUCCAUGUAGCUAUUGGAGCCUCGUUUGGAAAUGCGGAUCUUUCCUCAGCACGGUGAGGUCAUCCAUUGACUGUCAGCCCAGGCGGCGGUCAAGGAUGGAAGGUGGUUCGAUUCCACCAAGAUUCCUUAGUUGUAAUUUAUUGCUCUCUGUAGCUUAAUUUACUAUUUGCUCUUGUGUUUUCAACUUAAUAACAAGCUCUAUUUAACUAUCAUAAAUUAGCCUUGCUUAUCAUGAGCAUAUUUAACUUGAUUCUGUUUCAUAUUUUUUUAAUAUGUUCCUUAUAAGACCUGACUCUUUAUUCUUCAUAUGUAAACCUGAAACGAAUAAUUUUAAGAUUAAUUUAUUCUUCUAAACUGCCUUUUUGUAGGUAAAAGAAAGAAAAAAAAUCAAAGUGGAAGCUCAGAGUAAGAACCGUGACAGAGUUGUGAAAAUAAAUAACAAAAGCGCGGUGAGGACGGCAUCCACGCGGUGGUUGGAGUUAGAUUUUGCUUUAAUCAAGAGCUUGCGGAGAUUUUGGUCGAAAAGAGGACUCUGUUUCGGCACUGCGCGGGACCUUGAGCUCUGAAAGUCUGUUGAGAGGAGUUGCCGAAGAGGAGGCUGUCAUGAACCAGAAGUCAUCUGUUGUUUCUAGUUCGUCUGUUGUCUUUGGAGAUGAGCGAGAUAAGUCUGAAGAAGAAUGUUAGCGUGCGUGAGAUAUAACGUGAGCAGAGACGUAGAGGAGGCGGCAAGGAAGAACAGGGUGACCGGCUGCGUCCGGAGGAGUUGGCGGCGGAUGUCCUUGGACUAUUGUAUCAGCCGGUUUAUUCUGGUUCUAAAGCUGAAUUCUAUUACUCGGUUGAGAGACCUCGUUAAA